rnacentral:lncRNA from 1 species
UGAACAAUUCCAAUGUAACUAAAAUGUUACUGAUUUGUGUCUGUGGGCUUCUUAAAGCCAUAGGUUCAGAAUUAUAGAUUAUUUGAGAAUAAUAGUGGAGGGGGGAGUGUUGGAAUUUGGUAGUUUUGUUUUGUUUUUGACAAAAUAAACCCUUUAACUGUCUUGAUUGUAGGAAAGACAUUUAAAAAGUAAUCCCAAACUUCCUUUGUCUCAAACAAGAGAUUUAAGAAGAAAUUGCAUAGGAGAGACCUGACCUAUACACCUAAGUUCAAGUUUAUUUGUGAGGAGUUGGUUUUCAAGAAUGGUUUGGUGGAGAUGCUUGUUUUGUGCCUAGAGAUGCCAGGAAAUAUCUGAUGCUGAAAUAUCUGUAUGUCUUGAGCUCAUAAAAUUGUUGGAGUUGCAAAAGGGGGCUUUUCUGAAUGUGGACAGAGUGAAAAAUAGGCUGCUGACUUCUGUGAAGUUAUGGGGCAUGUACUUUCAUCAACUGGACAGUAAGAUCACUAGAAUGUAAGCAUGAUACAAGAGUAAAAAUGAUCCGGAAUGUGUUGAAACAAUUAUGAACACCACAUUGUAUGAAAAACAUAUCUGUUGUUUGUGCUAAGCAUCUACAAUACAAAAAUAAAAUACCUUAGGAACACCUUUUAUAUCAUGAAGAAUUUGGAGGCUAUAGACAAAGUGAGGGAUCUGAAUGAACAGUUAAUACUUUUUCUGUUGGUGAAGGGAUGGCUUAAAUAAGACUUUACCUAUAGUUGCAGUCUGUUACAGAGUUUAAAACAGAGCUUUGCAUGUUGAUUGCACUGAGUGGGCACUGGCUUACUAAUCCUGAGGGCACAUCUGUGAGGUAGGAGAGGUUGUGGUUCGCUCAGCUGGGCAGGAGCUGUUAAUCGAAGAGCCAGAUCUAAAAGGGUCCUUUCCAACUCUAACAAUUCUAUAAUUCUGUAUGAAAUCAAAGUAGGAGAUGUGUUGCUGAUUCUACUUUCUUCUUUCACUAUUUUUUUUUCUACCUGCUGCUAUGAACAGUUCACACAGGCUUGCCAUGCUUUCUGCUCAGCUGGCAAUAUUUGCAUCCUCAGCAAAGUAACGGAUGAUUCCAUUUUGCCUGCUUUUGGUACUGGUGGCUGGCCAUUCCUAGCUUCAAUGCAAGAAAAAUCAGAAUAGGAAAAGGAAGCCAGAAAUCACACAUGUAAAGCAAAAACCCUCCUGAAGCCCUGGUAUGAACAGUGACACCUGUCUGGAUUGCA